GGGGGAUGGGACGGGGGGGGGGGCAGGCAGGGCUUACGUGCAGGGGGCCUCUGUGCCUGGCCCCUGCAGGUCGAGGGAGAGUCCCAGGCCUGACCCUGGCCCCAUCCUCCAGGUCCGGAGCGCUCUGCAGAGGAUGACUGAGAAGAAGGCAGCGGAGGCCUUCCCGGUGGGCAGGCGCGGGCGGAGGGGCGGGGGGCCCUCCCCAUAGCCGGGGUCCUGGCACUGAUUCUCUUUCCUUUCAGGCUUGCUCCAGUCCCGUGGGCCCAGGAUUCCACCCUGGGCCCUCAGGCCCCUGGGAGAUGGCCCGGGACAACCCUGUGGUCUUGGCUCCCCCCCGAAGACACCUGGCUCUUAGAGGAACUCACAGCCCCAGAAACCCCACAACCUUCUCCUCCAUUGCAGAACCCGAGAGACCGGCUGUGGAGCUGACAGCAUUCAAGCCUUCAGGUACAGCUCUCACCCCAGGGGCUCCCUCUUUUCCUCUCAGCACCCGGAUACCCCCUCAGCCCCAAUGUCCCAAAAUGGAAAUUAUUUGAGAAAAAAAUGCACCCAACCUGCCACAAUUUGAGGGGCUCUUCCUAUCACUCGGCUCCUUGUUGGUGCCUGAAAAUCCCCCAUCAGCACCCUGUGGGCGCUGACAGUGAAAAUGCAGGGAUCAGGGGGAGAGGCUUAGUGAGGGAGGAAGUCUGGGACCCCCCCCCCAGGCCAGUGCUGCCAGAGAGGCAGCGAGCGAGGAGCCUGCCUCCCUCCACGCACC
rnacentral:lncRNA from 1 species